UGGUCUCGAACUCCUGACCUUGUUGUAAUCCUCCCACCUCAGCCUCCCAAAAUGCUGGGAUUACAGGUGUGAGCCACCGUGCCCGGCCCUUGCCCUCUGAUUCUUGCUGAUGCGUUUAUUGCUUUCUGCCUGUCUGUGCUUUGCAGUUGGGGUGCUGUCAGUUACUUUCACCCACUCACGGAGAUAUCCCUGAGCCCGUCAGCACCAUGAGGGGCACCCCGAAGUGCUGACAGAGAAUGACCCACAAAACAGGAGGCAGGGUUCCCAGGCAGGGCACCCCUGGAAAAGAGGCCUGUCUCAGGGGGUGACGGCUGCAAGGGUCUGGAGAUGGACAACGCCGACCUGGACCUGCUUGCUUUGAAGACACGGGCCUUACGGACAACUAGACAAAAAAACCACCCCCAAAACAGAAGCCUCCCAUCUAACCAACACAAAGAAUUUAUUUUUUCUCAGAAGUCAAUAAAUCAAU